GAUGAACGCUGGCGGCGUGCCUAAUACAUGCAAGUCGAGCGGACAGACGAGGAGCUUGCUCCUCUGACGUUAGCGGCGGACGGGUGAGUAACACGUGGAUAACCUACCUAUAAGACUGGGAUAACUUCGGGAAACCGGAGCUAAUACCGGAUAAUAUAUUGAACCGCAUGGUUCAAUAGUGAAAGACGGUUUUGCUGUCACUUAUAGAUGGAUCCGCGCCGCAUUAGCUAGUUGGUAAGGUAACGGCUUACAAAGGCAACGAUGCGUAGCCGACCUGAGAGGGUGAUCGGCCACACUGGAACUGAGACACGGUCCAGACUCCUACGGGAGGCAGCAGUAGGGAAUCUUCCGCAAUGGGCGAAAGCCUGACGGAGCAACGCCGCGUGAGUGAUGAAGGUCUUCGGAUCGUAAAACUCUGUUAUUAGGGAAGAACAAAUGUGUAAGUAACUAUACACGUCUUGACGGUACCUAAUCAGAAAGCCACGGCUAACUACGUG
rnacentral:rRNA from 1 species